rnacentral:rRNA from 1 species
CCUACGGGUGGCAGCAGUGGGGAAUUUUGGACAAUGGGCGCAAGCCUGAUCCAGCUAUUCCGCGUGUGGGAAGACGGCCUUCGGGUUGUAAACCACUUUUGUAGAGAACGAAAAGUCUAUUGAUAAUACCGAUAGAUGAUGACGGUACUCUAAGAAUAAGCACUGGCUAACUACGUGCCAGCAGCCGCGGUAAUACGGAGGAUGCGUGCGUUAUCCGGAUUUAUUGGGUUUAAAGGGUGCGCAGGCGGAUUUUUAAGUCAGCGGUCAAAUCGUGGGGCUCAACCCCAUCCAGCCGUUGAAACUGGGGAUCUAGAGUGUGCGAGAGGUAUGCGGAAUGCGUGGUGUAGCGGUGAAAUGCAUAGAUAUCACGCAGAACCCCGAUUGCGAAGGCAGCAUACCGGUGCACAACUGACGCUCAGGCACGAAAGCGUGGGUAUCGAACAGGAUUAGAUACCCGAGUAGUC